UACGGAGGGGGUUAGCGUUGUUCGGAAUGACUGGGCGUAAAGCGCGCGUAGGCGGGCUGGAAAGUUGGGGGUGAAAUCCCGGGGCUCAACCCCGGAAUGGCCUUCAAAACUCCCAGCCUAGAGUUCGAGAGAGGUGAGUGGAACUCCGAGUGUAGAGGUGAAAUUCGUAGAUAUUCGGAAGAACACCAGUGGCGAGGGCGGCUCACUGGCCCGGUACUGACGCUGAGGCGCGAAAGCCAGGGGAGCAAACGGG
rnacentral:rRNA from 1 species